GCCAGUUUGGUGUAUUGGUUAGAGUGUUGGACUAUGACUCUGAAGACCAGGGUUUGAAUCCCUGCUCUGCCA